rnacentral:rRNA from 1 species
UACGGAGGGUGCAAGCGUUGUCCGGAUUUAUUGGGUUUAAAGGGUGCGUAGGCGGCUUUUUAAGUCCGGGGUGAAAGCCCGUUGCUCAACAACGGAACUGCCCCGGAAACUGGAGAGCUUGAGUACAGACGAGGGCGGCGGAAUGGAGGGUGUAGCGGUGAAAUGCAUAGAUACCCUCCAGAACACCGAUUGCGAAGGCAGCUGCCUAGACUGUAACUGACGCUGAGGCACGAAAGCGUGGGGAGCGAACAGG